rnacentral:rRNA from 1 species
UACAGAGGUCUCAAGCGUUGUUCGGAUUCAUUGGGCGUAAAGGGUGCGUAGGUGGCGUGGUAAGUCGGGUGUGAAAUUUCGGAGCUUAACUCCGAAACUGCAUUCGAUACUGCCGUGCUUGAGGACUGGAGAGGAGACUGGAAUUUACGGUGUAGCAGUGAAAAUGCGUAGAGAUCGUAAGGAAGACCAGUGGCGAAGGCGGGGUCUCUGGGGCAGUAACUGACGCUGAGGAGCGAAAAGCGUGGGGGGAGCAAAACAGGG